GAUCCUGGCUCAGGAUGAACGCUGGCGGCGUGCUUAACACAUGCAAGUCGAACGGAACUCCUGUGUUUGAGGUUUCGGCCAAGAAGACAGGAUGUUUAGUGGCGGACGGGUGAGUAACGCGUGAGUAACCUGCCUUGGAGUGGGGAAUAACACAGUGAAAACUGUGCUAAUACCGCAUAAUGCAUUUGGGUCGCAUGAUUCUGAAUGCCAAAGAUUUAUCG
rnacentral:rRNA from 1 species